ensembl:lncRNA
CCUGACUUCCCCAGCCAACCUUCUCAGUAAAGGUAUGUGUGAUUUAGGCAGCCUGCCCUUCUGAGGGACCUUUGAGUCCAAGGUACCUACUCAUCUCAGGGAGAUGGAAGAGAUCUUUAUUUACAUCCUGACUUUGGACAACAGAUGCUGCAUUUCAGUAAUGAGACAAACAAGGGAUUUGUUUUGUAAGUUCCAGCAGAGGAGAAGGAACAUGGCUGUAAUCUCUGGGAGGAACCCUGAUCCACCAUCACAGCCUCGGUGCAGCCUGGACAUGGGCUUUUAUUGCAACAUAUUCCCAGGAUUGCUAAGUUUCUCAAGGGAGCUCAACCAAUUGCAACGAUGAAGUUGUCUUGGCCUUAUCCUGUUUUUCCAUCUUGCAGUGAAUGUAACUUCAUAAGGCUGAAUCUAAUUUAUUUGCCACAAUAAAAUUAUCACAC